rnacentral:rRNA from 1 species
GACGAACGCUGGCGGCGUGCUUAACACAUGCAAGUCGAACGGAAAGGCCCUGCUUUUGUGGGGUGCUCGAGUAGCGAACGGGUGAGUAACACGUGAGUAACCUGCCCUUGACUUUGGGAUAACUUCAGGAAACUGGGGCUAAUACCGGAUAGGAGCUCCUGCUGCAUGGUGGGGGUUGGAAAGUUUCGGCGGUUGGGGAUGGACUCGCGGCUUAUCAGCUUGUUGGUGGGGUAGUGGCUUACCAAGGCUUUGACGGGUAGCCGGCCUGAGAGGGUGACCGGCCACAUUGGGACUGAGAUACGGCCCAGACUCCUACGGGAGGCAGCAGUGGGGAAUAUUGCACAAUGGGCGGAAGCCUGAUGCAGCAACGCCGCGUGCGGGAUGACGGCCUUCGGGUUGUAAACCGCUUUCGCCUGUGACGAAGCGUGAGUGACGGUAAUGGGUAAAGAAGCACCGGCUAACUACGUGC